UACGUAGGGUGCAAGCGUUAAUCGGAAUUACUGGGCGUAAAGCGUGCGCAGGCGGCUUUGCAAGACAGAUGUGAAAUCCCCGGGCUUAACCUGGGAACUGCGUUUGAAACUGGGAGACUUGAGUGUGGCAGAGGGGGGUGGAAUUCCACGUGUAGCAGUGAAAUGCGUAGAUAUGUGGAGGAACACCAAUGGCGAAGGCAGCCCCCUGGGUCAACACUGACGCUCAUGCACGAAAGCGUGGGGAGCAAACAGG
rnacentral:rRNA from 1 species